rnacentral:rRNA from 1 species
UGAGUACGAGCUGCUACGGCAGCGAAGUGGGUGAUGUCAAGCUUCCAAGAAAAGCCCUAUACCCGUUAAGGCAUGAUGGCCUGUACCCGAAACCGACACAGGUGGGGUGGUAGAGAAUACCGAGGGGCGCGAGAUAACUCUCUCUAAGGAACUCGGCAAAAUGGCCCCGUAACUUCGGGAGAAGGGGUGCCACCGCAAGGUGGUCGCAGUGAAGAGGCCCAGGCGACUGUUUACCAAAAACACAGGUCUCCGCUAAGUCGCAAGACGAUGUAUGGGGGCUGACGCCUGCCCAGUGCCGGAAGGUUAAGGAAGCUGGUCAGCGUAAGCGAAGCUAGCGACUGAAGCCCCGGUGAACGGCGGCCGUAACAAUAACGGUCCUAAGGUAGCGAAAUUCCUUGUCGGGUAAGUUCCGACCCGCACGAAAGGCGUAACGAUCUGGGCGCUGUCUCGGAGAGAGGCUCGGCGAAAUAGAAUUGUCUGUGAAGAUGCGGACUACGUGCACCCGGACAGAAAGACCCUAUGAAGCUUUACUGUAGCUUGGUAUUGUGCUCGGGCUCGGAAUGCGCAGGAUAGGUGGGAGGCUAUGAACCAUUGCUGUGGGUGAUGGUGAGCCACUGGUGAGAUACCACUCUUUCCGAGCUAGAGUUCUAACAGCCACCCGUUAUCCGGGGGCUGGACAGUAUCAGGUGGGCAGUUUGACUGGGGCGGUCGCCUCCUAAAAGGUAACGGAGGCGCGCAAAGGUUUGCUCAGGCUGGUUGGAAAUCAGCCGACGAGUGUAAAAGCAGAAGCAAGCUUGGCUGUGAGACCUACAAGUCGAACAGGGAGGAAACUCGGCUUUAGUGAUCCGACGGUUCUGCGUGGAAGGGCCGUCGCUCAACGGAUAAAAGUUACUCUAAGGAUAACAGGCUGAUCUCCCCCAAGAGUUCACAUCGACGGGGAGGUUUGGCACCUCGAUGUCGGCUCAUCGCAACCUGGGGCUGAAGUCGGUCCCAAGGGUUGGGCUGUUCGCCCAUUAAAGCGGUACGCGAGCUGGGUUCAGAACGUCGUGAGACAGUUCGGUCCAUAUCCGGUGCAUGCGCAGGAAUAUUGAGAGGAUUUCUCCCUAGUACGAGAGGACCGGGAGGAACGCACCUCUGGUGUACCAGUUAUCGUGCCAACGGUAAACGCUGGGUAGCCAUGUGCGGAGAGGAUAGCCGCUGAAAGCAUCUAAGUGGGAAGCCCACCUCAAGAUGAGUAUUCCCAUGGGGUAACCCAGUAAGGUCACGGGAAGAACACCCGUUGAUAGGCUCUACGUGGAAGCGCAGUAAUGUGUGAAGCGGAGGAGUACUAAUAGACCGAGGGCUUGACC